rnacentral:rRNA from 1 species
UACAGAGGUCUCAAGCGUUGUUCGGAUUCAUUGGGCGUAAAGGGUGCGUAGGCGGCGCGGUAAGUCGGGUGUGAAAUCUUGGAGCUUAACUCCGAAACUGCAUUCGAUACUGCCGUGCUUGAGGACUGGAGAGGAGACUGGAAUUUACGGUGUAGCGGUGAAAUGCGUAGAUAUCGUAAGGAAGACCAGUGGCGAAGGCGGGUCUCUGGACAGUUCCUGACGCUGAGGCACGGGAGGUCAGGGGAGCAAACGGG